rnacentral:misc_RNA from 1 species
GUAGCCUAAUGAAAAAUUGUGGCUAUGUUCAACUAAGUGUUUCUCUAUAUGUAAUAAAAACAAUAUGAGCUUCAACAAUGUGUUCCUAAGAUGCAAUUUAACCCUCAAUCAAUGUAUAUGGCAAUAUCUAACAAGGCAUGCACCAUACAAUAUACAAUUGAUUUCUCAAGUCACUUAAUAUGUCCACAAAUUUAUCAACUCAAUCUAUUUAACCAACAUUCAAUAUCAUGUAUAUGAAGAAAAAUUUAAAAUUGCACGUAAGUAAAAUGGUAAAGGAUAGAGAGAUCAAACACAAGGAUUUUUAUAGUGGUUCAGCUUAACUAGCCUACAUCCACUCU